rnacentral:rRNA from 1 species
CAAAGUAUCUUCUGCCCACUGAUCUAUUAAAUGGCCGCAGUACCCUGACUGUGCUAAGGUAGCGUGAUUCUUGUUUUCUUAAUUAGAAAUCUGUUCAAAGAAUGAUAUGAAGAGAAUCUAUUGUUUCUUUAGUUAGCGAAUUUAAAAUGUUAGUGAAAAUUCUAAUAAGUUUUUAAAAGACGAGAAGACCCCAUAAAACUUAAUUUUAGUUCUUUGCUAAGAAGUAUAAAUUUAAAUGGGGACUUUAGAGUAAAUAAAUAACUUAAUGACCCUAUUAUUAUAAUAAUUGCGAAGCUACUUUGGGGAUAACCAGGGUAAAGUAUUUAGAGAGUUCAUAUCGAUA